AGAGUAUCCAAAUUCCCCUAAUGUAAAUAUUCAGAAUCAGUUAAUAUUUCAUUUGACUAGUGCUCCCUCUGCUGGACAUUUAUGUGUUUUUGCUUUUUCCCAGGGUACCCUUCCACGUGCUGUAGACCAUGUCUGGCAGCAUCCUAUUCAAAGGAAUAAAUUCAAAUACUUGAUUGACCAUCCUGUCUCCCUAACAGGAGCUGCAAGGUAAAGAAGGAAGAGGUCAGGAUAGAGGCAGGGAUAUUUCUUUUCUGUAUGAUGUUAAAUAUGUAAGAGGAGAGACUAGAGAGAAUGCAGUUUGUCCCCCGCAUUUGGACCGUGCAUUACAAUCCAAAGAUGAUCACAAGAAACAUGAUGGUGUCCUCGUGCCUCAUAAGAUGGAUGAGUUGCAUACAUCUAUGACCCAGUGGAUGGCAAAUUUGCUGAUUAUAAUGAUUCCUGACUUUACUGACCAUUACACUCUCCCAAAGUUGGAAGAGGAAAGUGCUGACGACCAUGAUAUGGGAAUUGCACAGUUUGAACUAGAUGCAGUUGUACUGGCGAAAAAGUUCAUCCAAGAUACCACCUAUUUGAGCAGGUAAGAGGAAUGGAAGAGAAAGGAGAUACAAAAAGCUGAGACCAGGUGGAGCCUUCCUCCUGAUGGGAAAAAAGUCUGCCUGGGAACUGCAGCACGCUUAUUAUAGUGGUAGACUAUUUAAGGGAAGUGCAGAGUGGAGGGUGCGUAAAGGGG
rnacentral:lncRNA from 1 species